AUCAGCCAUGAUGUUGGCUAUUAAUUUCUCAGUAGUUUUUAUUUCUUGUAUCUCUUCUUCUUUGGGUUUCUUCUCUAAUUUUAUUUGUAUUUUGUGUAAGUGAGAUGUUUAACCAACUCCAAAAACACAGCAUUUUCCCGGAAGCUAGCUUGCAAUAAUGUAUUUAACUUCAUGUGAAUAAAAAUAGGGGGUAAAUGAACAAUCACAUACAUUUGUGUAAGGUGGUUUAUAAAGUAAAUUGAGCAAACCACUCCCAGCCAAAUAAAAUUGGGGUCAUUACGCAUGUUGUAUUGAAAAAGGAGUGGAAGCCAGAUUGUUAGAAGAACUCAGUGCUAUAAAGAGGAAUCAUACAUGGGGAGCUAGUUCCAUUACCAUCAGCCAAACACCCAGUUGAUCUCAAGUGGGUAUUUAAGCUCAAAUUGAAAUUUUGAUGGCAUAGUGGCAAAACACAAGGAAAGACGUGUGGCAAAAAGUUUUCUACAAAGAGAAUGAGUUGAUUUUCAUGAGGUAUAUGCUCCCGUAGCAAGAAUAGAGACUAUAAGGCUUGUCAUAGAAAUUGGCCUCUAAAGUAUAUUUUUGUAAUAGUAGACCAGAUAUUACCUUUAGAGUUGACUUGGUGAGUAGGUUUACGAGUGAUCCUAAGAUACCUCAUAUGAUUGCAACUAAGAGAAUCGUGAAAUAUCUAAAGGAAAUUCAAAGUUUUGGCUUGCUAUUCCCAAAAGCAAGAGGAAGAGGAGCUUAUGAACUUGAAACAUACUCAGAUUCUGAUUGGAGUGGGGAUCAGGUAAAGAUGAAGAGUACAUCAUGCUACUAGUUUUUAUUCUUGAAUGCUCAUAUAUCAUAGUAUUCGAAGAAACAAAGUAUAGUGGCACUCUCAUCUUGUGAAGCUGAAUAUGUGGCACAUCACAAGCAGGUUGGUUGAACUCAUUACUUUAAAAGCUAGAGUUUGAUUUCAAGAUACCAGUUGAAAAUUGACCACACUUCAUUCAUUAGUUUGGCAAAGAAUCUUGUUUAACAAAGCAAGAGUAAAAACAUCCAGACAAAAUAUUAUUUUUUUUAAGAGAUCGAGUCUCAAAAGAAAAACUUGAAGUUGUGCAAUGCAGCAUUGAAAGGGUGGCUUCUAAGGUGAAGAUGCAAUAAAGUCCAUCAUCGUUGUAACACAUUUUUUGACCUUUUGAUCAAAUAAGUCUAUAUCAUCUCAAAUAAGUCUAUAUAACCAUAUUAGAAAAUGCGGACAUUUUCUUUGGAGGUUGUUUAUAUAUGUGUUGGGAAUUAUGUCGCUAUUUUAUUCUUCCAAACAACUUUGAAAACAGAGAGGUUCUCAGAA